GAGCAAACAGGCACUAAGAAUUCAGCCUGGUGAAUCCAUUGUUCUCCUCCCCAUAAAACAACAAACAACUUAGAGGCUUUUCAAUCCUCUGAUGUGUUUAAUUUGUUAUCUAGCAACAAAAAGAAGGAAAAGAAAAAGAAAUUCUCCCAAAUUCUAUGCAAUUUACAGUCCUGCAACUACAUACGGAACUGGGAUUUGCCUGAGAGACAUAUUGCAAAACAAUCGGCCCCAAGGAAAAUUCCAGAACUCAACAACACUCACAGUGGCCUAGUGAUGGUUAUCAGAAUGGUGUUUCUAAAUGGUGCUUAUCAGUGUGCAGAGUCACUUAUCACCAGUAGGCAAAGAGUUCCAUGGAUGUGGUUCAAAGGGCAGCCCAAGAAGCACCUGGGUCACAUUCCUGCCCAUCUGCCUGCAGCCCUCCCACGCCAAUAUUACUCUAUGAAGAUGUAAUGUUUGGAGCUGCAGCGAUCAUUUUGGAAUCAUGAGGCAAUCAACCUAAGAAUGAAAGCCAACAAGUUGAAGAAAGCAGGACAGAAUAAAGACCCUGGAUUCUUGGUGACACUUUUGGUUUCCAAAACUACUCUGAGAUGGCCAGCUUUGAACUUACCAAGUCAAUAAUGAAAGCUUGUAUGGUUUAAA
rnacentral:lncRNA from 1 species